ACGCGCACUGUCUGUUCCAUGUACCCAGCCCUGAGUCCUGAGUGGCAGCUGCAGUGGACAGCGGGGAGGCUGACACCAGGCGAGAGGCAACAGGAAGGCAGCUGCCUGCAGCCCGGCAAAGGCCGAACUAGCUGGGAGAAGGGAGAGCAAGCCGGAUCUCCCAGCCGCCUUGGCAAGCAGGCGCGGGGAGUCCGCGGCCACCAGAGGGCGCCUGUCUGCGGGCGUCACCGCCAUCCCGCUUGGGGAGGAGAAGAGGCGGAGCAUCGCCGGGGACCGGAGGCCGGAGCAGGUCCCCGGGGUCACUGGCCCCCGAAGAGCUGCCGCAGAGGAAGCUCCGAGUCCUCUGUAACCAAAACGUCGUUAAAAUGCUCCAGGAGUUUGUGAUCAACAGAGCUAAAAACUCUUGUUUUCACAAACCUUGCUGCGCUCUUGGCUCCCCAGGUUUCUGAUUUAUUUUUCCUUCAGGUCCUGGAUGACCUACUUCAGUUUCCUGAACUUUUGUGAGAACCUCCUUUUUUGUGUAGCAAGUGCCUCCUGCCUGUGAAAGGAGCAAGCUGGGGGAGGGCAAUGGUUAGGCAGAGCUGCAAGUUUUCAACCUUGUAUACUACACUGAAGAACACCAGGUUCAUUUUUUUUUUUAAAUCGUGUGUGUGUGUGUGUGUGUGUGUGUGUGUGUGUGUGUGUGUUCUGGUGUUGAACCAAGGUCUGGCAAGGCAGCAAGCCCUUUUAUCUCUGAGCCAUCUUGCUGGUCCAGGUUCAUUUUGUUUGUUUGAAUGGUGUUUUAUUGCUCCUGCUCAGAAUAGCCUAACGUUAUAAAAACAGCAGUGGCCAUCCUUCAAUCCAGCGUUAACAGAGCGCCCGCGUACCUGAGAACGGUUAACCUUCGCAAUGUGCCUGUGGUCUGAGCUGAGGGGACUGCCCUGGAGGGUGUGGGUGGAAAACGUGACGCCUGACGGAGGCCUUAUAACCUUGUUUUAUUCUGAUCCCUCGGCUUAGCUGCUGCUAAAUCUUUCCCUAGUUCUCAGGCCAAGCUGCAUAUUAAAAGAACCUGGUGUAAUCAUCAGGCUCCCAGUAGACACCCAGGAAGCAGGAGGUGUGCAUUUAGUGAUGUGGUGCCUGAAGGUGGCGAGAGCAGCUGUUUAGGCUGACUAGGGGAUGGGAACUCCACAGGGCAGGCCACCAGGGUGAGCAGUCGGAACUCUGGGAAGCCAGCAGAAGCUACUGUCCACGUGCAGUUUUCAUCAAAUAGGAAGCCUCCGCUCAGUCUGAAGACCUUUCAUCACCCGCCCAGACCUUCCCAGACUGUCUCUCUUGUCUAAAGACCAGUGGUAAAAACCCGACUUUCAUCGGUAGUUGUAAUUUACUCCUGUAAGCUAACACCUGGGUUGCGUUUGACUCAAUAACAGGGUUUAAACCAAAGCUGCCGCCUCACACGCUGGGUCACAGUUGGGAACCUCUGGGUAGGACUCUAGCUAGGCCCAAAAGGGCCAACUGAAAUGGAACCAAACUCUUGCUUUUUUUUUUUUUUUCAAACUCUCUGGGUGAUUCUGAUGCGUACUGAGGGUUAAGAAGUGUUUCUCGAGUCCCUCGGGAUUUGAAAUGCGCUGCUAGUCUUGUUUGACUGUUAGGAACACCCAGACUGCUUUGGCUGCGUGCUGUGUGGCCCCAGAAAGUUCGCUUCAUCUCCCAGAAUCUUCUGUCUGUGCAAGGAGGAGACUGGGCAAUAGCCUGCCACUGGCCCACAGCUUGCUGCCCACAGCCCCUCCCUGCUCUCAACUACAGACUGUCUGCUUUGCUCUUAUUCCCUCGGAGUGGCUCAAUUAUUACAAAGUCCUCAUGGCCUUGAAGACAACAAUGACCCCUUUCCUCUGGGCACAGGACCCAACUGUAGGCAAUGAGAGCAAGUGAUAUUACUAGUGAUCUCACUAACGGAAAGAGACGUGUGCCGCAUCACAGGCAGCCGGAGAGAACGGGGGCUCGCAGGUGGCCCUGCCCAGGGCUGGGGACGAUACAGCCCGCCUUCUGAGGGGGCGUUGCCUGGGGUCCGCAGGCUCUUGUGGAGGACUGUGUUCUCACCUGUGAUUGAACGAGAAAGCCUGCUCGAAUUCACAAUGAACAAGGCCCAGAAGCUGACAGUGAGUGACUCAGCAUUGGUGGGGCCCACAGUUAGGAUCUGGAGACGGAAACUUCCUCACUCAAGGACUGUGCCAGGCAUGGAGACUAUGCAGCUGUAGCACCUGAACAUAUGGGAUCACGUCUAGCACACGCCAGGCUCCUGCAGGAAAUUGCAUCCUAAAACUAGAGGCCAGGCUCUGCGCCAGUCAUGGCUCUUUUGUCUCCUGAGCGGCCCUCUUCCUCUGCCCAACUGGAGUGACUGCUCUUGGUUGUCAACUUGACUACAUCUGGAAUGGACCACAACUCGGAAGUGGAGGGCACACCUGUGAGGUUAUUUUUGCUUGGUUUGGAGAGGAUGAAUCCACUUCCGGUCAGACCUUUGGGGUGAGAAGGCACUUAGCUUUGACCUGGAUCUUGAGGCAGGAAAGACACACCUCUGCUCUGGGCCACGCCUUCUGCUGGAAGCCUCCAUGAGGACGUGAAAGAAGGAAGCUUUUGCUCAUUGCCUGCUUGCCCUCGCCUUGCUGGCACAACCGUUCCUUCGCUGGCAUUGGAGUCUACUUCUUCAGGAUUCCAGCAGAUACUGAAGAGCAGCUGCGACACCCAGCCUUGUGGACUGAGCAACUACUGGAUUCUUUGCUCUCUGCACACAGCCAGCCAUUGGUGGAUUAGCUGGGCUGCAACUUGUAAGUCAUUCUAAUAAAUCCCAUAGAUUUAUCCCAAAUUUAAAAUAUAUUUAGAUAUGUAUUUAUACAAAUAUAUACCCAGAAUAUAUAGGGGUUAUAUAUGUAUAUGCAGGAGAGAUUCAUUCUAUAAGUGCUCUUACUCUAAAAGAACCCUAAAUAAUACAGAAGUGAGACUUCAUCAACAAGAUGAGUGGCCUCUCACCUGAUGUCAUCCCUCUUGACAUGAUUCUCAGAUUCUCAGGAUCCCUGGAGACUCCAUUCAAUGCCUCCUCAGCAGUGGGAUUGCAUGAAAGAGCCUUCAGGAUGAGGCCCAACAGCACCCCAAGUAUGCAAAGCACUGUAUUUUCUCCUUUGCUUCUUCCUGGUACAGUUGAAGCAGAUUUAAAGAGUUACAAAUUGGCUGAAAUUCAUCCCAAGGACAAUUUACUAUCCCUCAUCCAUAUUCAGCAGUUUCGUGUUAGUUUAGUUUCUUCAAGCCCACCUGCCCAAGCUGCAAAGUGUCUUCACGCCAAGGACCCCUCUGGAGUGACUGCCAGACCUGAGCACGUGCGAUGGCCCACACUUCCCAUCCCGACAUUCCCUGGUUCUCCGUGAACACUGGAUUACCAUAAUGUCGGGUCAUUGCGGGCUACUGCAGGAAGGCUAACCCUGAGGACGGCUCCUGUGGAGUCAGGCGAGGGUGGAGUGGGAAGAACAGCUUCCAGAACUGAGCACUUUCUCCUGGGAUGCUCCGAAGAGAAAAUAUACACUGUCCAUCUGGGGAAGCUGGUCAACAGAUGCACGAAGAAUUAAGAAGUAAAUAAUUUUUCCUUGAGAACCAGCAGGGAACAGUGAUGUGCCAGUGCCUAUGACUGUACCGAAGCCACCCUGAAGCGUGUUUGGCUGCAUAAAGGCCACCAAUGCAGACUCUCCAUCCCAGCUUCUCCCUUUCCUGCCCAACCCAGGAAAAGAACAACUCGUCAUGAAGUAGUCCCUUAGAGAUUGUCCCUUCCUUAA